rnacentral:rRNA from 1 species
UACGUAGGGUGCGAGCGUUAAUCGGAAUUACUGGGCGUAAAGCGUGCGCAGGCGGUGAUGUAAGACAGAUGUGAAAUCCCCGGGCUUAACCUGGGAACUGCAUUUGUGACUGCAUCGCUGGAGUGCGGCAGAGGGGGAUGGAAUUCCGCGUGUAGCAGUGAAAUGCGUAGAUAUGCGGAGGAACACCGAUGGCGAAGGCAGCCUCCUGGGCCAGCACUGACGCUCAUGCACGAAAGCGUGGGGAGCGAACCGG